UUCUUCGGAGAGUUUGAUCCUGGCUCAGGAUGAACGCUGGCGGCGUGCCUAAUACAUGCAAGUCGAGCGAACUGAUUAGAAGCUUGCUUCUAUGACGUUAGCGGCGGACGGGUGAGUAACACGUGGGCAACCUGCCUGUAAGACUGGGAUAACUUCGGGAAACCGAAGCUAAUACCGGAUAGGAUCUUCUCCUUCAUGGGAGAUGAUUGAAAGAUGGUUUUGGCUAUCACUUACAGAUGGGCCCGCGGUGCAUUAGCUAGUUGGUGAGGUAACGGCUCACCAAGGCAACGAUGCAUAGCCGACCUGAGAGGGUGAUCGGCCACACUGGGACUGAGACACGGCCCAGACUCCUACGGGAGGCAGCAGUAGG
rnacentral:rRNA from 2 species